rnacentral:rRNA from 1 species
AUGAUAAACAAUGACUUUAGGUCAAAGGACCACGAUGGCGAGAGGGACGUACCACUAUGUCUCUUCUGGACAAUCAAUUGUUCCUACCAACUUUAUGUGAGUAUACUUCUGGACGCGCUAGUCUCCAAGUCAAUAAAUGUUGGAACUUGGAAGGAAAACUCUGAACGCGCUAAUUUCCAAGUCAACAGACGUUGGAGGAGGAAAAGUAAUUCUUCUGAACCUGUGAAAUUAGUUGUCCUUCGAAACUGGUGUUUGAGUAAACCUUCCAUUCCAAACAACACACACACACACACACACAGAGGGAGGCAGGGAGAGAGAUAG